AGAGUUUGAUCCUAGCUCAGGAUGAACGCUGGCGGCGUGGAUAAGGCAUGCAAGUCGAACGAUCCUUGUGUUUACAUAAGGGUAGUGGCAAACGGGGUAGUAACAGGUAGGAACAUACCCAUGAGUCGUGAAUAACUGCAGGAAACUGUAGCUAAUACACGAUAUCCCUACGGGGAAAAGAUUUAUCGCUCAUGGAAUGGCCUGCUUCGUAUCAGCUAGUUGGUAAGGUAAAGGCUUACCAAGGCUAUGACGCGUAGGGGAGGUGAGAGCCUGACCCCCACCAUUGGAACUGCGACACGGUCCAAACUCCUACGGGAGGCUGCAGUCGAGAAUCUUCCGCAAUGAACGAAAGUUUGACGGAGCGACGCCGCGUGAUGGAUGAAGUCCUUCGGGAUGUAAACAUCUUUUAUACGUGAAGAAGUAUAUUGACAUUAGCGUAAGAAUAAGAGGUUCCUAAACUCGUGCCAGCAGGAGCGGUAAUACGAGUACCUCAAGCGUUAUCCGGAAUUAUUGGGCGUAAAGGGUCCGUAGGUGGUCCUAUUAGUCAGAUGUGAAAGAUCCGUGCUCAACACGGGGGCCGCAUUUGAAACGGUAGGACUUGAGUCUGCAAGAGGUAAGCGGAACUCAUGGUGUAGGGGUGAAAUCCGUUGAUAUCAUGGGGAACACCAAAAGCGAAGGCAGCUUACUGGUGCAGCACUGACACUAAGGGACGAAACCCUGGGUAGCGAAUGGGAUUAGAUACCCCAGUAGUCCAGGGCCUAAACGAUCUUGAUUAGCUUUUGGGAGUAUCGACCCUCUCAGAGGCGUAGCUAACGCGUUAAAUCAAGCGCCUGGGAAGUACGAGCGCAAGCUUAAAACUCAAAGGAAUAGACGGGGACUUGCACAAGCGGUGGAUCAU
rnacentral:rRNA from 1 species